GGACAGCGUUCUGAAUGCGGCCAGAGGAGGGCGCUCGCCUUGCCCUUCCGCAGAUUCCGGGGUCUUUGCGGGCGGCGCGCUUGCUUGCCUGGGAGCUGGAAGAAGGCUGAGACUGGCUUCCCGUCCCAGCACGGAUCUGACCUGCUCAGUGACCUUGAGCAAGGUUCCCACAGGGACAAUGACAAGGAGGGGCUGUUUCUGCCCAGAGAGUCUGCAUUUCCACGAGUUUGGGGCAGAGCGGGAAAGAGAAGAGGAGGGCAGAAAGGAGCUGAAGGAGGAGCCUGGGGUCCAGGGCAGACCCUGGCAGCUGAGGGGUCACCGCCCAGCCCAGUCCUGGAGCUAGCUCUAGCCUACGCAAUCUCCAGGAAGCUGCUGGAAACAGAAGCGGUCCUCCCCAGCUCUCUUCCUCCCGCCCAGGAAAACACAAACGUCCAGGGCCAGAGGUGAAGGUGGAGCCCACCAGGGACGCUUGCACUCCUCUCUGGGUCUCCUUCCCUGACAUCAUGCCCUGUCGGCUUCUGAAGAUGCGUGAAUUCCACAGUUCCCCACAAAAUCAUUUGGAAAAAAG
rnacentral:lncRNA from 1 species